rnacentral:rRNA from 1 species
CCUACGGGUGGCAGCAGUGGGGAAUAUUGGACAAUGGGCGCAAGCCUGAUCCAGCCAUGCCGCGUGAGUGAUGAAGGUCUUCGGAUCGUAAAGCUCUGUGGGAAGGGAAGAGAAAAGUAUACCUCAUACGUAUGCUCUUGACGGUACCUUCUUAGCAAGCACCGGCUAACUCUGUGCCAGCAGCCGCGGUAAUACAGAGGCUGCAAACGUUGCCCGGAAUUAUUGGGCGGCAGGCUCACGUAUCGGGUCUGAAAGCCCUCGGCUUAACCGAGGAAGUGCAUCCGAAACUGCCAGGCUUGAGUAUGGAAGAGGGUCUCGGAAUUCCCGGUGUAGAGGUGAAAUUCGUAGAUAUCGGGAGGAACACCAGUGGCGAAGGCGGAGACCUGGGCCAAUACUGACGCUGAGGUGCGAAAGCGUGGGGAGCAAACAGGAUUAGAUACCCGUGUAGUC